AUUGAACGCUGGCGGCAGGCUUAACACAUGCAAGUCGGGCGGAGAUGAGGUGCUUGCACCUUAUCUUAGCGGCGGACGGGUGAGUAAUGCUUAGGAAUCUGCCUAUUAGUGGGGGACAACAUUCCGAAAGGAAUGCUAAUACCGCAUACGUCCUACGGGAGAAAGCAGGGGAUCUUCGGACCUUGCGCUAAUAGAUGAGCCUAAGUCGGAUUAGCUGGUUGGUGGGGUAAAGGCCUACCAAGGCGACGAUCUGUAGCGGGUCUGAGAGGAUGAGCCGCCAGACGGGGACUGAGACGCGGCCCAGGCUCCUGCGGGAGGCAGCAGUGGGGAAUAUUGGACAAUGGGGGGAACCCUGAUCCAGCCAUGCCGCGUGUGUGAAGAAGGCCUUAUGGUUGUAAAGCACUUUAAGCGAGGAGGAGGCUACUGAGACUAAUACUCUUGGAUAGUGGACGUUACUCGCAGAAUAAGCACCGGCUAACUCUGUGCCAGCCGCCGCCGUAA
rnacentral:rRNA from 1 species